UUGAACGUUGGCGGCACGCCUAAUACAUGCAAGUCGAACGAGAAAGCACUUCGGUGUGAGUACAGUGGCGGACGGGUGAGUAACGCGUAGGAAUCUACCUAGUAGUGGGGGACAACUCGAGGAAACUCGAGCUAAUACCGCAUACGCUCUUAGGAGGAAAGUGGGGGAUCUUCGGACCUCACGCUAUUAGAGGAGCCUGCGUUAGAUUAGCUUGUUGGUGAGGUAAAGGCUCACCAAGGCGACGAUCUAUAGCUGGUCUGAGAGGACGAUCAGCCACACUGGAACUGAGACACGGUCCAGACUCCUACGGGAGGCAGCAGUAGGGAAUCUUGGGCAAUGGGCGAAAGCCUGACCCAGCGAUGCCGCGUGUGCGAAGAAGGCCUUAGGGUUGUAAAGCACUUUCAGUCGUGAAGAAAAGCUACGAUUUAAUAUGUCGUGGUCUUGACGUUAGCGACAGAAGAAGUACCGGCUAACUCCGUGCCAGCAGCCGCGGUAAUACGGAGGGUACGAACGUUAAUCGGAAUUACUGGGCGUAAAGCGCGCGUAGGCGGUUUGAUAAGUGGGAUGUGAAAGCCCCGGGCUCAACCUGGGAACUGCAUUCCAAACUGUCAAACUAGAGUGUGGUAGAGGGCGGUAGAAUUUCCUGUGUAGCGGUGAAAUGCGUAGAUAUAGGAAGGAAUACCGAUGGCGAAGGCAGCCGCCUGGACCAACACUGACGCUGA
rnacentral:rRNA from 1 species